GCUGCCCUUUACUAGAACAGGAUGAAUUAUAUACAGAUCAUUGCAGGAAUGUCAAUUUAAAAAUUGCUGUGAUUUUAGAACAUGUAAGCUGAAAGGCUCAGCAGAAUGUGGUUCAGGACCAUGUUGCAGAUCAAACUGUGAGAUAUGUGAUAAUUUUGGUAAUUGCCAAUGCUUUCCAGACCACAGGCCCCCAGACUGUGAAUUCCGUCUUAGUUCACCAGGGGGCAGUAUUGACGAUGGAAAUGUUCAGAAAUCAGACUUACGACCUGGGAAGACUUUUGUCAGGCUGUUUGCACAACUGAGGAAGACACUGAGAAGACAUGCAGUCCACAGUGCAGUAUCUGCUAGAGCUGAGGAAGACACUGAGCAGAUAUUGGUGGCUAUGGUGCAUUAUUGGCCUACAAACAAAUCUAUAAUGGAAGAGAAGAAGAGAAAAUAAAAUUUUUGGGUAUAAUAUACAACUAAACAACUGGAUUAUUUUGAGUUUCUGCAUUUUUCUGCCAUUUUUCAUAAUUUUCAUCAUUGUGGUCAUUAAGAUAAUGAAAAUGAGAAACUUAUGCAAUGCAGAGAACACAAAGUAUGAUGGGAAUGCAUCCACUGCACCAGAAAGCUACCACGUGGAAUAUGAAGACUGCCAAGGUCGCCAGCAAAUGGCCUAAAGAAGAAAAUGAGCUUUAUAACCCUAAAGUCCCGCCCCAAAUACAGUUUAUAAAAUAAAGCUGUGAGUCCUCGGAGCAAACUGAUGGGUCAGCCAGGACCGCGGGCUGGGUGGGGGGCGGGAGGAACCAGGCUCAGGACCAGGAACCGCA
rnacentral:lncRNA from 1 species